CCGAGUUUACAACUCCCAAACCCCUGUGAACUACCUUUAUGUUGCCUCGGCGGAUCAGCCCGCGCCCCGUAAACGGGACGGGCCCGCCGCAGGAAACCCUAACCUCUGUUUUUAGUGGAACUUCUGAGUUAUAAAAAACCAAAUAAAUCAA
rnacentral:misc_RNA from 1 species